rnacentral:rRNA from 1 species
AUACGGAGGGUCCAAGCGUUAUCCGGAUUCAUUGGGUUUAAAGGGUGCGCAGGCGGGCUUGUAAGUCAGUGGUGAAAUACUGCCGCUUAACGGUAGAACUGCCAUUGAUACUGCAAGUCUUGAAUAUGGUUGAGGUAGGCGGAAUGUGUUGUGUAGCGGUGAAAUGCAUAGAUAUGACACAGAACGCCAAUUGCGAAGGCAGCUUACUAAGCCAUUAUUGACGCUGAGGCACGAAAGCGUGGGGAGCGAACAGGAUUAGAUACCCUAGUAGUCC